GAACGCUGGCGGCGUGCCUAAUACAUGCAAGUCGAACGAACUUCCGUUAAUUGAUUAUGACGUGCUUGCACUGAAUGAGAUUUUAACACGAAGUGAGUGGCGGACGGGUGAGUAACACGUGGGUAACUGCCCAGAAGCAGGGGAUAACACCUGGAAACAGAUGCUAAUACCGUAUAACAGAGAAAACCGCCUGGUUUUCUUUUAAAAGAUGGCUCUGCUAUCACUUCUGGAUGGACCCGCGGCGCAUUAGCUAUUGGUGAGGUAACGGCUCACCAAGGCGAUGAUGCGUAGCCGACCUGAGAGGGUAAUCGGCCACAUUGGGACUGAGACACGGCCCAGACUCCUACGGGAGGCAGCAGUAGGGAAUCUUCCACAAUGGAGCAAGUCUGAUGGAGCAACGCCGCGUGAGUGAAGAAGGGUUUCGGCUCGUAAAGCUCUGUUGUUAAAGAAGAACGUGGGUGAGAGUAACUGUUCACCCAGUGACGGUAUUUAACCAGAAAGCCACGGUAACUACGCGCCAGCAGCCGCGGUAAUACGUAGGUGGCAAGCGUCAUCCGGAUUUAUUGGGCGUAAAGCGAGCGCAGGCGGUCUUUUAAGUCUAAUGUGAAAGCCUUCGGCUCAACCGAAGAAGUGCUUGGAAACUGGGAGACUUGAGUGCAGAAGAGGACAGUGGAACUCCAUGUGUAGCGGUGAAAUGCGUAGAUAUAUGGAAGAACACCAGUGGCGAAGGCGGCUGUCUGGUCUGUAACUGACGCUGAGGCCGAAAGCAUGGGUAGCGAACAGGAUUAGAUACCCUGGUAGUCCAUGCCGUAAACGAUGAUUACUAAGUGUUNGGAGGGUUUCCGCCCUUCAGUGCUGCAGCUAACGCAUUAAGUAAUCCGCCUGGGGGUACGACCGCAAGGUUGAAACUCAAAAGAAUUGACGGGGGCCCGCACAAGCGGUGGAGCAUGUGGUUUAAUUCGAAGCUACGCGAAGAACCUUACCAGGUCUUGACAUCUUCUGCCAACCUAAGAGAUAGGCGUUCCCUUCGGGGACAGAAUGACAGGUGGUGCAUGGUUGUCGUCAGCUCGUGUCGUGAGAUGUUGGGUUAAGUCCCGCAACGAGCGCAACCCUUAUUACUAGUUGCCAGCAUUCAGUUGGGCCUCUAGUGAGACUGCCGGUGACAAACCGGAGGAAGGUGGGGACGACGUCAAAUCAUCAUGCCCCUUAUGACCUGGGCUACACACGUGCUACAAUGGAUGGUACAACGAGUCGCGAAACCGCGAGGUUAGCUAAUCUCUUAAAACCAUUCUCAGUUCGGACUGUAGGCUGCAACUCGCCUACACGAAGUCGGAAUCGCUAGUAAUCGCGGAUCAGCAUGCCGCGGUGAAUACGUUCCCGGGCCUUGUACACACCGCCGUCGCACCAUGAGAGUUUGUAACACCCAAAG
rnacentral:rRNA from 1 species